rnacentral:rRNA from 1 species
ACUAAGCGUACACGGUGGAUGCCCUGGCAGUCAGAGGCGAUGAAGGACGUGCUAAUCUGCGAUAAGCGUCGGUAAGGUGAUAUGAACCGUUAUAACCGGCGAUUUCCGAAUGGGGAAACCCAGUGUGAUUCGUCACACUAUCAUUAACUGAAUCCAUAGGUUAAUGAGGCGAACCGGGGGAACUGAAACAUCUAAGUACCCCGAGGAAAAGAAAUCAACCGAGAUUCCCCCAGUAGCGGCGAGCGAACGGGGAGGAGCCCAGAGCCUGAAUCAGUGUGUGUGUUAGUGGAAGCGUCUGGAAAGGCGCGCGAUACAGGGUGACAGC